rnacentral:rRNA from 1 species
UACGUAAGCAGCAAGCGUUGUUCGGAGUACUGGGCGUAAAGGGUGCGUAGGCGGCUUCUUAAGUCUGGUGUGAAAUCUCCCGGCUCAACUGGGAGGGUGCGCCGGAUACUGAGGGGCUAGAGUGUGGGAGAGGAAAGUGGAAUUCCUGGUGGUAGCGGUGAAAUGCGUAGAUAUCAGGAGGAACACCGGUGGUGUAAACGGCUUUCUGGACCAUAACUGACGCUGAGGCACGAAAGCGUGGGUAGCAAACAGG